rnacentral:tRNA from 1 species
UCCCUGGUGGUCCAGUGGUUAAGACUCUACACUUGCACUGUGGUGGGCACGGGUUCAAUUCCUGGUCAGGGAA